GCGAGAGUGGCGGAAUUGGCAGACGCGCUGGACUUAGGAUCCAGUGGCUCCGGCCAUGCGGGUUCAAAUCCCGCCUCUCGCACCA
rnacentral:tRNA from 1 species